AACAAACGCUGGCGGCGUGCCUAAUACAUGCAAGUCGAACGGGGAAAGCUUUCGGGUGAGUACUAGUGGCGCACGGGUGAGGAACGCGUGGAUAAUCUGCCUUAGAGUGGGGGAUAACUAGUCGAAAGAUUAGCUAAUACCGCAUAAGACCACAGGAGCUGCGGCUCUAGGGGUCAAAGGUUUUUCGCUCUAAGAUGAGUCCGCGUAAGAUUAGCUAGUUGGUGAGGUAACGGCUCACCAAGGCGACGAUCUUUAACUGGUCUGAGAGGAUGAUCAGGCACACUGGAACUGAGACACGGUCCAGACUCCUACGGGAGGCAGCAGUAGGGAAUAUUGCACAAUGGAGGAAACUCUGAUGCAGCGACGCCGCGUGAGUGAUGAAGGCCUUCGGGUCGUAAAGCUCUGUCGCAGGGGAAAAACACAAUGAAUGUACCCUGUAAGAAAGGAUCGGCUAACUUCGUGCCAGCCGCCGCGGUAACAC
rnacentral:rRNA from 1 species